GACGAACGCUGGCGGCGUGCUUAAUACAUGCAAGUCGAACGGAAAGGCCCUGCUUUUGUGGGGUGCUCGAGUGGCGAACGGGUGAGUAUCACGUGAGUAACCUGCCCUUGACUUUGGGAUAACUUCAGGAAACUGGGGCUAUUACCGGAUAUGAGCUCCUGCUGCAUGGUGGGGGUUGGUAAGUUUCGGCGGUUGGGGAUGGACUCGCGGCUUAUCAGCUUGUUGGUGGGGUAGUGGCUUACCAAGGCUUUGACGGGUAGCCGGCCUGAGAGGGUGACCGGCCACAUUGGGACUGGGGUACGGCCCAGACUGCUACGGGAGGCAGCAGUGGGGAAUAUUGCGCAAUGGGCGGAAGCCUGAUGCAGCAACGCCGCGUGCGGGAUGACGGCCUUCGGGUUGUAAACCGCUUUCGCCUGUGACGAAGCGUGAGUGACGGUAAUGGGUAAAGAAGCAACGGCUAACUACGUG
rnacentral:rRNA from 1 species